rnacentral:misc_RNA from 1 species
GAUGAAGAACGCAGCGAAAUGCGAUAAGUAAUGUGAAUUGCAGAAUUCAGUGAAUCAUCGAAUCUUUGAACGCACAUUGCGCCCGCCAGUAUUCUGGCGGGCAUGCCUGUUCGAGCGUCAUUACAACCCUCAGGCCCCCGGGCCUGGCGUUGGGGAUCGGCGGAGCCCCCCGUGGGCACACGCCGUCCCCCAAAUGCAGUGGCGGUCCCGCCGCAGCUUCCAUCGCGUAGUAGCUAACACCUCGCGACUGGAGAGCGGCGCGGCCACGCCGUAAAACACCCAACUCUUCUGAAGUUGACCUCGAAUCAGGUAGGAAUACCCGCGGAACUUAAGCAUAUCAAUAAGCGGAGGA